CCCAGACAGCCAGGAUGUUGGCUUAGAAGCAGCCAUCAUUUAAAGAAAGCGUAAUAGCUCACUGGUCGAGUCGGCCUGCGCGGAAGAUGUAACGGGGCUAAACCAUGCACCGAAGCUGCGGCAGCGACGCUGAUGCGUUGUUGGGUAGGGGAGCGUUCUGUAAGCCUGUGAAGGUGGCCUGUGAGGGUUGCUGGAGGUAUCAGAAGUGCGAAUGCUGACAUAAGUAACGAUAAAGCGGGUGAAAAGCCCGCUCGCCGGAAGACCAAGGGUUCCUGUCCAACGUUAAUCGGGGCAGGGUGAGUCGACCCCUAAGGCGAGGCCGAAAGGCGUAGUCGAUGGGAAACAGGUUAAUAUUCCUGUACUUGGUGUUACUGCGAAGGGGGGACGGAGAAGGCUAUGUUGGCCGGGCGACGGUUGUCCCGGUUUAAGCGUGUAGGCUGGUUUUCCAGGCAAAUCCGGAAAAUCAAGGCUGAGGCGUGACGACGAGGCACUACGGUGCUGAAGCAACAAAUGCCCUGCUUCCAGGAAAAGCCUCUAAGCAUCAGGUAACAUCAAAUCGUACCCCAAACCGACACAGGUGGUCAGGUAGAGAAUACCAAGGCGCUUGA
rnacentral:rRNA from 1 species